CUCAGCCGCAACCCCUCUCACUCUCAAACUCUCAGCGCCGUUUCUGUCAUCCCUAUCUACUCUCUCCCUCUCGACCGAGACAACCAAAAGACUCAGGGCCAUCACUGGCCACCACGUCACGACCCCGAUAAGGGUUAAACCGACCCUCAUUACACCUUCACCGAAAACCCCCAAACCUAAAUCUAACUCUCGACCUUGAGGACCACCACUCCGGCCAUGGGAGCCCGCAACAUUAAGGGUGCAAACAACUAACCACAAACUCACCCAACUAUGGCGACAGUGGUUCUCUCCUUCAGUGACACUCGAACAGACCAGCCUCGGGUCUGCUGUUGGUGCCAAAUUUGCAGGGCAUGGGCGACAGCCACUGUUGGCGUGCUCGUGGAGCAGGGCGUGGGCUGCUGGAGUGCUGUCGGGCGUGGGUGAUAGGGAACCUGAGCUGCUCGGUCAGAGUGCUGUCGGGCGUGGAGUAGCUGUAUGGGAGCUGUUCUACACGUGGGAGACAUGGAUAGCUCGGGUUUGGUUACAACCGGGUCGGAUCUAGGAUAUAAUCGGGUCGAACUUGGGGCUGCUCUUGGGCUCUUGGUUGGGUUGCUUGUAAUUGGGCCCGGUUUGGGCUUUUUUUGUGAAGCCUGCAAAAAUGUAAAA